GCUAGCCCUAACCGCGAAGGGGGGCGGUUGCCACGGUGAGAUUCAUGACUGGGUGG
rnacentral:rRNA from 1 species